UCAUUUGUCCUCUUUGGGAUCUUUUAAUUUUUCCUCUUUGGGAUCUUUUCCUCACUUAAGGGCAACACUCUAUGUUUUACAAGAAUAAAAGAAGAUCAUCACACUUUAUAAGAAGUACUCACAUAAAGACAAAUGAAAACUAUCAUGAUGUAUGAAAAUGUAUGCAUAUGCUAGUGUAGCAGGAUAUGCAAUGAAACUAGUGCGUCAUGUAGAGAUAAUAAGGGAAAGGCCCA
rnacentral:lncRNA from 1 species